GCGAACAUAGUUCAGUGGUAGAACGCACCUUCCCAAGGUGGAGGUCACGGGUCCGAUCCCCGCUGUUCGCU
rnacentral:tRNA from 1 species